UCCUGCGUUUUUAUUGACACACGCUGUAGAAGCAUGAACUUACUCUCUGGUGUGCACAGACGCCAUGCCAGAUCUGUGUCUGGUUCCGCGCUUAUGCCAUUACGCAGGGACCCAUAUCUGUGAUAAAGGAUGGGGAGGAAGAAGGAAGUGAGAUGUCGUCUGUUCAGUUGCCAAUCCUUCUGACUACUGUCUGCCUAUUGGUUGGCUGCGUGCUGGUACUCGGCACACUGAUUGUCGUGAUGCGUAAACGCACCCAACGCCUUCAAUUGUACUCGCCACUGGCCACUGAAGAAAACUAGUUUACAGGAACUGUCUACUAGCCUGAGUUCAUCAAAGGAAAUCAUUUAUCCAUAUUUCUCAAUUAUAUUUGAAGAAGAUUUAAGAGAAAUUCAGAACAAUUUAAGUAAACGUUUAUUAUGCUGUUAGGCAUGGGUGAUAUUCAAUAGAAUUUUUUUGUAAUGCAGCACAAUUAUACACAGUGCAGUCCGUCAGUUCAGUUGUCCUUAAUUUCAAUAUUAACACAUUGUAUUCAAAUAAAAAUAACUGGCUAAUUAGAGUAGUAAGCAUAUAUUUUGUCUUCAAGCUCAUUUGGCAAAAACUAAUCAGUUUCGAUAAUUGUGACUAAAAAGUUUUUAAUUUAGUUUUUUCCCCAAUUUUUCCUAUUAUUACCAGUAGGAAUGUUGCUAAUUGCCCGGAAAUUAAUGCAUAUGCCCUGCCGAUUCGGUGCGAAAAAAACUAGCUCAAAAUUGUUUAUUUGAGUGACCCACGUACGCACCCUUAAUGAAAAUAAAUGAAAUUUGUUUCAUCAGCAAUGUUGCGGACAUUUUUUUAGAAAGUUAACCAAAAAAUUGCUGUUUCAUAAUUAUGGUUUAACCAUUAAUUUGUCAAAAGCUUAUUACUCACGGCCAUCUCAGUGUCAAUUGCUUAGCAAUUAAUAGAUAAAUAAAGAGUUGAGUUGAUGUUGUUGCAAA